AGUUGAAGGAAAGAGUUGGCAACCGGGAUGCUAAUUUAGAAGUUCUAAGGUAUUCUCCACCUGUAAUCUAUUGCUCCAGAAUUCUGCAGGAACAUUUGAACUGGUAAGGAAAGAAUGCCUCAAGUGAGCAUGUGUACAACUCCAGUAAACACACUGUGCAUGCAGCCUCUCCCAAAUUCUGGCAGGCUACUGGGCAUGUGGAAAACCCAUCCCAAGAGAAGAAUCACGGGAGAAGGAAUGCAAGAACCCAGAAGCAUGCCAACAUAUAAAACCCUGAGUCAAAGAUCAAACUGGGAACUUGGAUCUCUUAAGUCACCUGCUUGGCCCUUUUCCAAGUGUACUUUACUUCCUUUCAUUCCUGCUCUAAAGUUUUUAAUAAACUUUUCCUCCUACUCUAAA
ensembl:lncRNA novel transcript